ACCUGCUGGUGGCUAAAGUUCACGGCCCGCCUAUUGGACUCUCCGUGUUGGGUAUCACUACCAUCACCAAGGAAAUGAUUUUGACGCUCGCUGGAGUAUUCCUGACCUACUUCUUCCUCUUGUUUCAGUUCCGAAUUUAGGACUUUUUUGGCAUAUCGCACCAGCAGUGACGGACCAUGGGGUAGAGAAACGGGGGGACUGAGAGAGGAAAAGGAUG